AUUGAACGCUGGCGGCAUGCCUUACACAUGCAAGUCGAACGGCAGCACGGGUGCUUGCACCUGGUGGCGAGUGGCGAACGGGUGAGUAAUAUAUCGGAACGUACCUUAUUGUGGGGGAUAACGCAGCGAAAGCUGUGCUAAUACCGCAUAAUCCCUAAGGGGGAAAGCGGGGGACCGUAAGGCCUCGCGCAAUUAGAGCGGCCGAUACCUGAUUAGCUAGUUGGUGAGGUAAAGGCACACCAAGGCAACGAUCAGUAGCUGGUCUGAGAGGACGAUCAGCCACACUGGGACGGAGACACGGACCAGACUCCUACGGGAGGCAGCAGUGGGGAAUUUUGGACAAUGGGGGCAACCCUGAUCCAGCAAUGCCGCGUGAGUGGAGAAGGCCUUCGGGUUGUAAAGCUCUUUUGUCAGGGAAGAAACAGCAGCUCUAACACAGUUUGCGAAUGACGGUACCUGAAGAAUAAGCACCUGCUAACUACGUGCCAGCAGCCGCGGUAA
rnacentral:rRNA from 1 species